AAUUUAUACUUCUCGAUGUCGGCUAUUGCAUGUACUAACAAUCGUGUUAUAUGUAUUAACUUGAAGUCUGUAAAAUUUUUGCAUCCGUACAUUUUGAAAAUCUUGCAAAUAAUUUGUGUCAUUUUAUCAUGUACGCAUUUGCAAAUUACGAAAUGAAGAUCUUCAAUAACCUACGAUAAAUCGUCUUUAAUUGAUAAAAAUCUCUAAUUCACAAUUUGUGUCAAUGUUCAAGUACUAUUACAUGUGAAACACACCUUUUCUUAGUGCUACAGGAGCACACGGCAUUGGACCGAAAAUGUUUCAAAAAAUGAUUCAAAAAGCGACUAGAACAUUCAGAAAAAUACUUCUAGUUCAAAUACAACAUAGUUGAUACAUAAGAAUAUGAUUUAUGGAUCAAAUUGCACAGAGGAUAUAUUAUUACCAUUAGAGGAUAUAUUAUUAACUAUUAUUCUUUCUAAUUUCCAACUGCCUUAUAAUAUAUCAUGCAGGUUUGAGCAUAAUGAUGAAUAUGUCAGGUAUACGUAUAAAUACCGUAAUCGAUAGAUCAUAGAAAUUUGAUCACGAGUGCAAACCAAUGUUCACUAUAAUUUCGAGUCUAGACUUGAAUGUUCAUCUUACAUAAAGAUGCGAAUCAAAAAGAAAAAAAAUUUUUGUUGCUUCAAGAAAGGCACGAUAAAUUUGCAAAUUAUAAUACCUUCCUGUGAGUGCAAAUUGUAAUACUAGAACAGAUAAUAACUACAAUAGUGGAUUAUGUGAACUCUAUAAAUAUAUCGAUUAUAAAAAUCUGCAUGAAAUUGUCACGAAAACUCCAAUUUCAUUUCACUGUCAAAACGAUAAUUAAUAACUUUGUAAUUUAAAAUACAAGCAUAAAAUGACAACAUCAAAACUUUUGAUACCACCCAUACUACUUCAGUUGAUUGUCUCUGUUCACAUUUUUGGACUAUACGUAGCGAAAAUAGACAAAUUUAAUAGUAGUAACUUACAGAUAAGAUAAUUAGGGAGAUAAAAUAAUAGCUAUAGCAUAAUAUAAUAACUACAAUUUACUUCCUAAAAAUUUAAUUAUGUGUAUCAGUGAUUUUAUUUAUAUAUAAAAUUAGGUAUUGUAAAAUCAUGAAACGUUUUCCUAUUUUAAUUGGAACGAUAUCAUUAUAUUUCCCCUGUUCUGCACCACUUCUGCACAAUAAGAAUCUGCGAUAAUGACGACGUCAAAUGCAUCAUACUUUCCAGCAGGAAACCAACGUCAGCCUGUUGGUGUUUGAGGGCAAUCCAGUAGUUUUUCGAUUACCUUAUAUCAUCACAAAGGAUGUCUGGAACUCACGAUAUGAGAUUAAAAUGAAUCUGAGUGCUAAAUGAGAUUACUGCUUUUGCGGUUAGAUAUUCUUUGUUCAACUAUCCAAAACUAAUUACAAGUAAAAUCAAGAAUUCAUUACGAAAUGAUUAAAAUAAUUUGAUCCUAGAGUAAAUUUUUAGCAAAUAUUUCUUUUUUAAGUAUAGAUAGAUAAAUGGAAGAUUACAGUGAAUCAAUAGAUUCAUCUCUUAUACGUACCUGAAUCAUCUAUUUGUAGCAUAAGCUGAGAGUCUUGACAAUUUUCCGUAUUAUUAUAUUUUGAUACAAAUUAAUGGCUUAUUUUUGUACGUGCAUGCUUUACUAUUUUGUAUAUUCUAUAUAUAUGAACAAUAUACGCAUUUGUAUGUUAAUAAAGAAAGAAAAUUUUUCUUUCAUGCCAAAUGGAACAAACAUUGUCUUAUUAAAAUCUGAAGGCAUAAGGGAAAAGCAACAGUUUUACGAAAAUGAUAUAUUUACACAAUUUAUUUUUAUAUCUCAACAUUGUCAUAUUGUAAUCAUAAUCAUCAUCGAGUCACAUAAUAAUUAGCAAAAAAAAAAAGAGAAGUAAACGUCGAAUAUCGAUAAAAAGAUGAACGAGGAAAAUUUUAGGUCAAAAAGUAGCAGUACAAAAGGAAUAAGAGAUUCGUCGGUAAACUUGGGAAAAUCAAUAGAUCGCAAAUCGGUCAUUCUCAAAAAAAUUCGAAUAGAAAGAAAAAGAGUAAAAAACUUGUAAUAGCUUUUGAACGUGUCUACUCGUGUAACCUAAUUGAUUAAGAAAUAUGGAGGAAAACUUAUCAACAAGUUGCAAUCAUCUCGAAUCAUCAUUCGUAUAACAGAUUCUACUCUAUAGUGUAUGCAUUUCAUCUUCAUGAUUUUCAUCCUCAUGAUUCGCAUUUUAGUCACCAAAUGCCCGAUAAACGUGUCAUUGUAGGAACUGAAUCCAACCAUCUUACAAUAUUAAAGGCUAUCUUAAAUACUGUGAACAAACACGGUCAUUCUUUUUUUUUUUAAUUUUGGAGUACAGUUUGCUAUCGGAUGACUGUGAGAACUUUUCUUCCAGCUUUAUCCUUAUUCAGAGAAUAAAAUGAGUAAAAAUAUCUACAUAUGAUCGUACUUCGAAAAAAAGAACCAUAUAUAAUGAAGGCUGGACAGGAUCAAUUCCAAUUGUACCUUUAUAGGACGAUGUUCAUUGUAGCUGGUCCCACUACGUGCAUUUAUGUGUCAUUUAUAGUUAGAACAAUCGUUGGUGUCGAAUACAUUACUAUA